AAUCACGAGGCGCUUCACAAAAACAAAAAAUGUAAAAAUAUAAAAAAUAAUUUAGAAAAUGAUUAAAAAUAUAUUUUAAAUGAGCAAAAAGUAGACAAUCGUGAUUAAAAAAUGUUAAGAAGGAGAGAGAGUGAAUAGGAAAGAGGGAAGGAGUUGAUGACAACAAAAACCCCAAAACUGUUACUUUUUUGUGAGACUUUAGCACCAAACUACAUUUAGAUAUAUAAAAAGUGACAUAAUUUUACAAUAUUUUUAAUAACAUUUAAGUAGAUGUGGUGAUUAGUUUUGUUGCCAUGGCAAUGCACGUAGAUCUGGAGAUUUGUUUGGCUUUUUUCUACGAUGUUUUAUUUACAGAUAUGUCUGGGAUUGAGAAAGAUGUGCUAAGCUGUGAUAUUUGUCCUUUUAAACUAUUAAGACCAUUUCUUCUCAGUUUGAUAAGGUGAGCCCCUCAGACAGAUUCACCACCACCUACGACGAGGACUUUGGACCCCAUGCAUGGAAGAAGAUCAAAACUCAACCUGCUGCACCCAGAGCUUCACCCAGAAUCAUCAACACCUACGGUUCAGCGGCUGGCAUUGAUGCUGAUGACUGGAAGAGGUCCUUGUGGGGCUUGGAUCCAGUUCUUCAACUGAAGAGCAGAACCAACCAGCAGUCCUACUAUGGCCAGUGCGUUUUGUAAGUCCUACACAGACCGGACUUUUAAUCAACUCCAACACUGACACAUCCUCUCUGGUUCCCAGCAGUGAACUGGAAGAUGAGCCAGUCGUCCCUCUGCCCAGUUAUCAGAGCACCACCUGCAUUGAUUAAACGAGUAAUCCACACUUUUAAGAGAAGAGGAAUUUUCUUGUAGUAACACCAUCCAGCCACCAGAGGGUGACCACACCACAUAACACAAGCACAACCUAAUUCUAAAAAAAAACAUUCAUGGUUAUGGCAGCUGGCUAGUUUACAUGUUACUCAAUAAGAGGAUGACUUUUAAACGUAAAUGAUCAAAAACACACCUGGCGAGAUUAUUUUCUAUCAAACAGAAGGCUUUACAAUACACUCGAGCAGAUAAAGAGAACAUAACCUCCACUUGUCUCCAUGGAAACUUGCUUUACUGGCCAUUCUGAGGAUGUGGAUGUCACAGGCAUGGACGCAUUCAAUUAAUCAGUGUUUUUUUUUUAAAACAAGAAUCUAACUGACAUUAUACCAGGCUGGUUUUAAACUCAAUUGAAUAAAAGAAAGUGAAACAGGCUUGGAGUCUUUGGGGUGUUACCGGUCACCCGUGAAGGUUUGAAACCUGAAAUAAAUCCAAAUCAACCACAUUGCUACACGUGAUUCCCUCUAAAAGAUCCAGAGAACACACACUUUCUUCUUUGCCCCCUC